rnacentral:tmRNA from 2 species
GGGAAUAAUUAUAUAAGAAUUGACAUUUUAU